UGGCUCAGAGGUAGAGUGCUUGCCUUGCAUGCAUGAGGCCCUGGGUUCGAUUCCUCAG
rnacentral:tRNA from 1 species